rnacentral:rRNA from 1 species
ACGAAGGGGGCUAGCGUUGUUCGGAAUUACUGGGCGUAAAGGGCGCGUAGGCGGCCACCGCAAGUCGACUGUGAAAUCUCCGGGCUUAACUCGGAAAGGUCAGCCGAUACUGCGGGGCUAGAGUGCAGAAGGGGCAACUGGAAUUCUCGGUGUAGCGGUGAAAUGCGUAGAUAUUGGGAAGAACACCGGUGGCGCAAGCGGCUUGCUGGGCUGUAACUGACGCUGAGGAACGAAAGCUAGGGUAGCGAAUGGGA